rnacentral:misc_RNA from 1 species
AAAGAGUCUUGGUUUUGGAAACAAAACCGACCCUUCAACCCAAUUGUAUUACCAUUCCUUCGUUGCCUCGGGGGGAGAAUUUCUGUGCUGCGAGGCGCAGAGAUGACCCCCGGUGGACAUACCAAACUCGUUUUUUAAACCAUAAAGUCAGAGUCAUUUGAUUAAAAUCAAAACA